AUUGAACGCUGGCGGCAGGCCUAACACAUGCAAGUCGAGCGAGCGGCGGACGGGUGAGUAAUGUAUGGGGACUGCCCGAAAGAGGGGGAUAACUACUGGAAACGGUGGCUAAUACCGCAUACUAUCGGAUAACCCAUAUGGGAUUAGCUAGUAGGUGGGGUAAAGGCUCACCUAGGCGACGAUCUCUAGCUGGUCUGCGAGGAUGAUCAGGCACACUGGGACUAGGCGACGGCCCAGACGCCUACGGAGUCAGCAGUGGGAAAUAUUGGACAAUGGGCGCAAGCCUGAUGCAUCCAUGCCGCGUGUAUGAAGAAGGCCUUAGGGUUGUAAAGUACUUUCAGCGGGGAGGCGUUACCCGCAGAAGAAGCACCGGCUAACUCCGUGCCAGCAGCCGCGGUAAUAC
rnacentral:rRNA from 1 species